AUUGAAACCUAGUGAUUUAUGAGUUAGUGGCGGACGGGUGAGUAACGCGUGGAAAACCUGCCGUAUACCGGGGGAUAACACUUAGAAAUAGGUGCUAAUACCGCAUAAGCGCACAGCUUCGCAUGAAGCAGUGUGAAAAACUCCGGUGGUAUACGAUGGUUCCGCGUCUGAUUAGCUAGUUGGCGGGGUAACGGCCCACCAAGGCAGCGAUCAGUAGCCGGCCUGAGAGGGUGAACGGCCACAUUGGGACUGAGACACGGCCCAAACUCCUACGGGAGGCAGCAGUGGGGAAUAUUGCACAAUGGGGGAAACCCUGAUGCAGCGACGCCGCGUGAGUGAAGAAGUAUUUCGGUACGUAAAGCUCUAUCAGCAGGGAAGAAAAUGACGGUACCUGACUAAGAAGCCCCGGCUAACUACGUGCCAGCAGCCGCGGUAAUACGUAGGGGGCAAGCGUUAUCCGGAUUUACUGGGUGUAAAGGGAGCGUAGACGGCAGCGCAAGUCUGGAGUGAAAUGUCGGGGCUCAACCCCGGCCUGCCGUUGAAACUGGCGGCCUCGAGUGGGCGAGAAGUAUGCGGAAUGCGUGGUGUAGCGGUGAAAUGCAUAGAUAUCACGCAGAACUCCGAUUGCGAAGGCGGCUUACUGGACUGUAAAUGACGCUGAGGCUCGAAAGCGUGGGGAGCAAACAGGAUUAGAUACCCUGGUAGUUCACGCCGUAAACGAUGAAUACUAGGUGUCAGGGAGCAAAGCUUUUUGGUGCCGCAGCAAACGCAAUAAGUAU
rnacentral:rRNA from 1 species